UGGGGGAUAUUGCACAAUGGGCGAAAGCCUGAUGCAGCGACGCCGCGUGGGGGAUGAAGGCCUUCGGGUUGUAAACUUCUUUUGCUCUGAACAAGGCAUGCCUUUGGGGUGUGUUGAGUGUAGGGGUUGAUUAGCGCCGGCUAACUACGUGCCAGCAGCCGCGGUAAUACGUAGGGCGCGAGCGUUGUCCGGAAUUAUUGGGCGUAAAGGGCUUGUAGGUGGCUGGUUGCGUCUGUCGUGAAAGCUCAUGUCUUAACUGUGGGUUUGCGGUGGGUACGGGCUGGCUUGAGUGCAGUAGGGGAGGCUGGAAUUCCUGGUGUAGCGGUGGAAUGCGCAGAUAUCAGGAGGAAUACCGGUGGCGAAGGCGGGUCUCUGGGCUGUUACUGACGCUGAGGAGCGAAAGCGUGGGGAGCGAACAGG
rnacentral:rRNA from 1 species